rnacentral:rRNA from 1 species
CUACGGGUGGCUGCAGUGGGGAAUAUUGGACAAUGGGCGCAAGCCUGAUCCAGCAAUGCCGCGUGAGUGAUGAAGGCCUUAGGGUUGUAAAGCUCUUUUACCCGGGAUGAUAAUGACAGUACCGGGAGAAUAAGCCCCGGCUAACUCCGUGCCAGCAGCCGCGGUAAUACGGAGGGGGCUAGCGUUGUUCGGAAAUACUGGGCGUAAAGCGAACGUAGGCGGCUUGGCAAGUCAGGGGUGAAAUCCCAGUGCUCAACACUGGAACUGCCUUUGAAACUGCUUGGCUUGAAUCCUGGAGAGGUCAGUGGAAUUCCGAGUGUAGAGGUGAAAUUCGUAGAUAUUCGGAAGAACACCAGUGGCGAAGGCGACUGGCUGGACAGGUAUUGACGCUGAGGUUCGAAAGCGUGGGGAGCAAACAGGAUUAGAUACCCCAGUAGUC